CAAACGACUCUCGGCAACGGAUAUCUCGGCUCACGCAUCGAUGAAGAACGUAGCAAAAUGCGAUACUUGGUGUGAAUUGCAGAAUCCCGUGAACCAUCGAGUUUUUGAACGCAAGUUGCGCCCGAAGCCAUUCGGCUGAGGGCACGUCUGCAUGGGCGUCACGC
rnacentral:rRNA from 1 species